rnacentral:lncRNA from 1 species
GUCGAGUUGGCUUGUACGAGAAAGCUCUGAAGGCCAAAAUCCAGUUAUCUUUUCACUACCUCAUAAUGGAAUUUCUUAAGUUAUAUAGGGUAAGUUUCUAUAGUAUCGCAUUGAACUCAUGACGCCAGAUCAUAGAAUUCUUUGCUCAUUGCCUUCUCCUCGAGGUUGAACCGACCUCCCAUCUUCUUUGGGCCUCCUUCACACCAAAGGAGCAUCCCAAAGAGAACAAAUGGUGGUACGUCUCUCCUCGAUGGGAACAUCAUCUCUUCUAAGGUGCUCCUACUUCGGUGCAUAACUGAAAAGAGCGUUUCUUCUUUAUCUCGACCAAGCA